rnacentral:rRNA from 1 species
UACGUAGGGUGCAAGCGUUAAUCGGAAUUACUGGGCGUAAAGCGUGCGCAGGCGGCUUUGCAAGACAGAUGUGAAAUCCCCGGGCUUAACCUGGGAACUGCAUUUGUGACUGCAAGGCUGGAGUGCGGCAGAGGGGGAUGGAAUUCCGCGUGUAGCAGUGAAAUGCGUAGAUAUGCGGAGGAACACCGAUGGCGAAGGCAAUCCCCUGGGCCUGCACUGACGCUCGUGCACGAAAGCGUGGGGAGCAAACAGG